ensembl:lncRNA
UCCUCCUCCUCCUCCGUUCAGUAUUCAUCUCCUCCUCCUCCUCCUCUGUUCAGUAUUCUUCUUCUCCUCCUCCUCUGUUCAGUAUUCUUCUUCUCCUCCUCCUCUGUUCAGUAUUCUUCUUCUCCUCCUCCUCUGUUCAGUAUUCUUCUUCUCCUCCUCCUCUGUUCAGUAUUCAUCUCCUCCUCCUCCUCCUCUGUUCAGUAUUCAUCUCCUUCUCCUCCUCCUCUGUUCAGUAUUCAUCUCCUCCUCCUCUGUUCAGUAUUCAUCUCCUCCUCCUCCGUUCAGUAUUCAUCUCCUCCUCCUCCUCCGUUCAGUAUUCAUCUCCUCCUCCUCCUCCUCUGUUCAGUAUUCAUCUCCUCCUCCUCCUCCUCUGUUCAGUAUUCAUCUCCUCCUCCUCCUCCUCUGUUCAGUAUUCAUCUCCUCCUUCUCCUCCUCUGUUCAGUAUUCUUCUUCUUCUCCUCCUCUGUUCAGUAUUCUUCUUCUUCUCCUCCUCUGUUCAGUAUUCUUCUUCUUCUCCUCCUCUGUUCAGUAUUCUUCUUCUUCUCCUCCUCUGUUCAGUAUUCUUCUUCUUCUCCUCCUCUGUUCAGUAUUCUUCUUCUUCUCCUCCUCUGUUCAGUAUUCUUCUUCUUCUCCUCCUCUGUUCAGUAUUCUUCUUCUUCUCUUCCUCUGUUCAGUAUUCUUCUUCUCCUCUGUUCAGUAUUCUUCUUCUCCUCGGUUCAGUAUUCUUCUUCUUCUUCUUCUCCUCUGUUCAGUAUUCUUCUUCUUCUUCUCCUCCUCCUCUGUUCAGUAUUCUUCAUCCAGAGAGGUCAUCUUCACAUGGGGGACUGUGAAGGUUGGAGCCAGGGGUAGAGAAUGACAAAGACUGCAUACCAAAAAGGCACCCUAUUGCCUACAUAGUGCACUACUUUUGAACACAGCGCUAUGGGCAUUAUUAUACGGAAUAGAGUGACAUUAGGGACGUAGCCAGAGACUGGGCACUUAAAGGUAUAGAGAGGAAGUUCACAGGUCAGUGGUUAUUGAUCAGGGUACUGAUGCUCAGCUGAAAUAUCUCUGUCUAAAUUAGAGUUUAGAUGACGGACUAAAUUACACAACUAGAUUAUUUUAGCAGGUAGGGAAUAAAAUAUCCCAUAUCAUCAUCAUCAUCCAAGCCCCAGUUGGAACAAACUGUCAAUUGAAAGCCAACUCUUUCAGGUGAGCAACAGAACUAGGCAAGGGGGCCCACCUGCCUAUACCAUGAUGGAGAAACGAUGCAUUGAUUAAACCUGCAGUUUCCUUGAACGUCCUGUUCCACAACAAAUGGCACACACAUAAAGAACAAUGUGCAAAAGAUGGAAAAUGAAUAUUCACUCAUGUAGGGCUACCGCUACUGCUUCAAUUGACAUAAUAAUAGAUGGCAUGACAAUCCCCUGUUCAUGAUCUGGAUGCUGAACAUAAAAACACAAAAGGAGCAUGAGGACCACACAGAGACCGGACAAGCCCGUUCUGAAACAGCAGCUCUCUGUCGCUCUCUCUCUGCUUCAUUGUCCAUCUCUCAGCUGCAUCUCUCAGCUGCAUCUCUCAGCUGCUCACGAGUUGAAUUAGUCGCAUUAGAAAUGCAGAUAGUCACCGUCACAUGUGGAGCGUAUGAUAGGUCUUCAGUUUACGUCCCAAAUAGCACCGCAAACCCUUCAUAGUGCACUACUUUUGACCAGGGCGCAUAGGGAUCUUUGACCAGGGAGCAUAGGGAUCUUUGACCAGGGAGCAUAGGGAUCUUUGACCAGGGAGCAUAGGGAUCUUUGACCAGG